UGGGUCCUACGGGAGGCAGCAGUGGGGAAUAUUGCACAAUGGGCGCAAGCGUGAUGCAGCCAUGCCGCGUGUAUGAAGAAGGCCUUCGGGUUGUAAAGUACUUUCAGCGGGGAGGAGAGGCGGGCAUUUGGAGCCAGCAGCCGCGGUCUUACGGGGGCAGCCGCGGGGGGA
rnacentral:rRNA from 1 species